UGAACGCUAGCGGCAGGCUUAACACAUGCAAGUCGAGGGGCAGCGGGUGUAGCAAUACAUGCCGGCGACCGGCGCACGGGUGCGUAACACGUAUGCAACCUACCUAUAACUGGAGGAUAGCCCCGAGAAAUCGGGAUUAAUACUUCAUAACAUUGCGAAAAGACAUCUUUUUGCAAUUAAAGCUCCGGCGGUUAUAGAUGGGCAUGCGCGGUAUUAGUUUGUUGGUGAGGUAACGGCUCACCAAGACUACGAUACCUAGGGGUUCUGAGAGGAUUUUCCCCCACACUGGUACUGAGACACGGACCAGACUCCUACGGGAGGCAGCAGUGAGGAAUAUUGGUCAAUGGGCGCAAGCCUGAACCAGCCAUGCCGCGUGAAGGAUGACGGCCCUAUGGGUUGUAAACUUCUUUUGUACGGGAAAAAACCCCUGAUCGUGUAUCGGGGCUGAUGGUACCGUAAGAAUAAGGAUCGGCUAACUCCGU
rnacentral:rRNA from 1 species